CUGCCCCUCUCCUGUUCAUGCCCCGUCUCUGUCCCUUAAAAAUAAAUAAAGGUUAAAAAAAUUGAAAAAACAAAAAACUAUUCAACUAUUAAGGGCUCCUCCUCUAUGGUAAGGAGUAUCCAAAAUAAA